rnacentral:rRNA from 1 species
UACGUAGGGUGCGAGCGUUGUCCGGAAUUACUGGGCGUAAAGAGCUCGUAGGUGGUUUGUCGCGUUGUUCGUGAAAACUCACAACUCAAUUGUGGGCGUGCGGGCGAUACGGGCAGACUGGAGUACUGCAGGGGAGACUGGAAUUCCUGGUGUAGCGGUGAAAUGCGCAGAUAUCAGGAGGAACACCGGUGGCGAAGGCGGGUCUCUGGGCCGAUACUGACGCUGAGGAGCGAAAGCGUGGGGAGCAAACAGG